GCUGCCCAGAGAGCACAAAGCUGACGGGGAAGAGGAGGGAUGGAUGUCAGCCAUGGGGACGCCGCCGCAUUGACUGUCCAUCUCUCGGAGUGACUUCCCCUUGUGGAGGUGCUACCAGCGGUGUUCUUACCUGCGAGAAGAUGAAGCACUCCCACAGCCAGGGUGGGCGUGAAGCUGCGGCACAGGCAAGCGCAGACGCCGAUGAGGCCGCUCAGGAACACCAAGGCCAGCGAUACCAGAGGCAAGAGAAACUGGCACCUCCACAAGUCUGCAACAACAUUUAAAACAUUAGGACCCUUAAAUGACAAUUGCAUUGUUGGCUAUAACAGUGAGUCCCCACUAUACUGCAGAUCUUUAAGCUAUCCUUUUAUGUCAUACAGUUCUCGACAGGCAAAAUAAAAUUUAGAGCUGGACGCCUUCAGCGUAGUAUGACAUUGUGCUGCCACAUGCCAGGCAGCACUGAGGUCAACUGGAAAAGAUGCAGUAAAAUUAACAAGAAGAGGCAGAGAAGGUUUGCAUUUUGUAUUUCUCUGUUCCACAAAUUCCAGAAUCUACACUCAAAUCAUUUAAUUAUCAGUUAGCUUUUAAUGGUAGAAACUGGAUCACAAAUAUUUAACAAACUUUGUAUUGGACAUUGGAGCAUGGCGUACGUACAUGUCCUUAGCAGGUCCUCGUCACGAUUGUGGUUUCCAGGGUGUUUGUAUUUUGGCAAGAACUGCUGAGGAAGAGUGAAACGCUCACACUGCCUUUUAAAAAUGGGAUCUAAAAAAAAAAA